rnacentral:rRNA from 1 species
UAACCCGCACCACUUAUCGUGGUGGGAGACAGUGUCAGGCGGGCAGUUUGACUGGGGCGGUCGCCUCCUAAAAGGUAACGGAGGCGCCCAAAGGUUCCCUCAGAAUGGUUGGAAAUCAUUCAUAGAGGGUAAAGGCAUAAGGGAGCUUGACUGCGAGACCUACAAGUCGAGCAGGGUCGAAAGACGGACUUAGUGAUCCGGUGGUUCCGCAUGGA